GGACUACAGGGGUAUCUAAUCCUGUUCGCUCCCCUAGCUUUCGCACCUGAGCGUCAGAUGCUUCCCAGGACACUGCCUUCGCCAUUGGUGUUCCUCCGGAUCUCUACGCAUUUCACCACUCCACCCGGAAUUCCGUGUCCCUCUGAAGCCCUCAAGUCUCGCCGUUUCCAAAGACCUUUCCCAGUUGAGCCGGGAACUGUCACUCCAGACGUACGAAACCGCCUGCGUGCGCUUUACGCCCAGUAACUCCGGACAACGCUCGCCCCCUACGUAUUACCGCGGCGGCUGGCAC
rnacentral:rRNA from 1 species